rnacentral:rRNA from 1 species
UUGAACGCUGGCGGCAUGCCUUACACAUGCAAGUCGAACGGCAGCGCGGGAGCAAUCCUGGCGGCGAGUGGCGAACGGGUGAGUAAUACAUCGGAACGUGCCCAAUCGUGGGGGAUAACGCAGCGAAAGCUGUGCUAAUACCGCAUACGAUCUACGGAUGAAAGCAGGGGAUCGCAAGACCUUGCGCGAAUGGAGCGGCCGAUGGCAGAUUAGGUAGUUGGUGAGGUAAAGGCUCACCAAGCCUUCGAUCUGUAGCUGGUCUGAGAGGACGACCAGCCACACUGGGACUGAGACACGGCCCAGACUCCUACGGGAGGCAGCAGUGGGGAAUUUUGGACAAUGGGCGAAAGCCUGAUCCAGCCAUGCCGCGUGCAGGAUGAAGGCCUUCGGGUUGUAAACUGCUUUUGUACGGAACGAAACGGUCUUUUCUAAUAAAGAAGGCUAAUGACGGUACCGUAAGAAUAAGCACCGGCUAACUACGUGCCAGCAGCCGCGGUA